rnacentral:misc_RNA from 1 species
GAUGAAGAACGUAGCGAAAUGCGAUAAGUAAUGUGAAUUGCAGAAUUCAGUGAAUCAUCGAAUCUUUGAACGCACCUUGCACCCUUUGGUAUUCCGAAGGGUAUGCUCGUUUGAGUGUCAUUGUACUCUCACACUUCUAAUUCCUUUCGGGAUUGGGAGCGGUGGACUUGGGUGUUGCUGCUUUAGUUGUGGCUCACCUCAAAUAAGUUAGUGCAACUCUUGGUUGGACAUAGUACGGCGUGAUAAGUGUCUUCGCCGGCGCCUCUGUAAGGAGGGUGGCCGAUCGGGAGCUCUGUGCUUCAAACCGUCUUCGGACAAUCUUUGACAACUUGACCUCAAAUCGAGUAGGACUACCCGCUGAACUUAAGCAUAUCAAUAAGCGGUGGA